rnacentral:rRNA from 1 species
AGUGAACGCUGGCGGUAGGCCUAGCACAUGCAAGUCGAACGGCAGCACAGUAAGAGCUUGCUCUUACGGGUGGCGAGUGGCGGACGGGUGAGGCAUACAUCGGAAUCUACUUUUUCGGGGGGGAUAACGUAGGGAAACUUACGCUAAUACCGCAUACGACCUACGGGUGAAAGCAGGGGAUCUUCGGACCUUGCGCGAUUGAAUGAGCCGAUGUCGGAUUAGCUAGUUGGCGGGGUAAAGGCCCACCAAGGCGACGAUCCGUAGCUGGUCUGAGAGGGUGAUCAGCCACACUGGAACUGAGACACGGUCCAGACUCCUACGGGAGGCAGCAGUGGGGAAUAUUGGACAAUGGGCGCAAGCCUGAUCCAGCCAUACCGCGUGGGUGAAGAAGGCCUUCGGGUUGUAAAGCCCUUUUGUUGGGAAAGAAAAGCAGCAGGUUAAUACCCCGCUGUUCUGACGGUACCCAAAGAAUAAGCACCGGCUAACUUCGUG